rnacentral:lncRNA from 1 species
CCUAAGAGUUACCCGAAGCUCGGCAUCCGCGAUUGUCUAAGGGGCCUCCGAGACGUUCGGGCAGCGUCAGUCUUCAGCCGCCAAGCCGAGGAGAUCUGGGAAGGAGUCGGUGGGGAGCUUUGGGUUUGAGCUCCAGGAGCUCCGGAAGUGGCGAUGAGAGUCGGGCAGUCAGACUUCCAGUGAGGGCCCGCACAGGCGGGGCAUGGCUUAGGAGGAAUCCCAGGCUGCAGGCAUUCCUUGGCCCAGUGGCCAGGUUUUCAUCGCUUGAAGCAAAGUCCCAGAGGGGCUGUUGGAUGUUGCGUUUAGAUGCCUUGAAGUUCUUGCAGGUAGGCAGUGCAGCUGGGGUUUGUCUUAUGGCGGAGGCAAGCAUCUGUAGUUCUGAAAUGCGCUGUCGCCGGGCAGUCUCUUCCCUAUUAUUGAACACCUUGAAGGCGAGGUUGAUUAAUUCCUGUUGUGGGAUCUGAGAGCCAGACUCUAAUUUUUGAAGUUUCUUUCUACUGUCAGAAACUGACUGGGUAAUAAAAUGCAUGUUAAGAAUAAGGCGGCCUUCUAUCCCUUCAGGGUCUAGUGCUGUAUAUCGCCUGAGGGUGGCAGGUAGACAGGCCAUAAACUGAGCUGGAUUUUUAUCUUUGUUCUGAGUGGUUUUUUUUGUUUUUGUUUUUGUUUUUUAGUUUGUCAUAAUUGACGGCUUUAUAUGCAGCCUUCUGAAGCCCUUUAACUAGGCAAGAGAUCAUGUAGUCCCGCCUGGCUAUGCCUGGGUCCCAGGGCCUGGUAAAGAAGGCAUUCCAAGAGAAGGAACAACGUGAAAAGAAACAAACUCAUGAAGGCCUGAGGCAUGAGCAUGUGUUGAGCAUUUGGGAAAGAACAAAGUCAUGUUAUAAGACCCUAUAAUGCUUGGCAAAAGAUAGUGGCAAGAAAGCUGGGGAAAAAAAGCU